CCUACGGGUGGCAGCAGUGGGGAAUAUUGGGCAAUGGGCGCAAGCCUGACCCAGCAACGCCGCGUGAAGGAAGACGGCUUUCGGGUUGUAAACUUCUUUUUUCAGGGACGAAGAAAGUGACGGUACCUGAGGAAUAAGCCACGGCUAACUACGUGCCAGCAGCCGCGGUAAUACGUAGGCGACAAGCGUUAUCCGGAUUUACUGGGUGUAAAGGGCGUGUAGGCGGGACUGCAAGUCAGAUGUGAAAACCACGGGCUCAACCUGUGGCCUGCAUUUGAAACUGUAGUUCUUGAGUGCUGGAGAGGCAGGCGGAAUGCCUGGUGUAGCGGUGAAAUGCGUAGAUAUUAGGAGGAACACCGGUGGAGAAGGCAGUCUGCUGGACAGCAACUGACGCUGAGGCGCGAAAGCGUGGGGAGCAAACAGGAUUAGAUACCCGGGUAGUC
rnacentral:rRNA from 1 species